GUCCACGCCCUAAACGAUGAAUACUCGAUGUUGGCGAUAUACAGUCAGCGUCUAAGCGAAAGCGUUAAGUAUUCCACCUGGGGAGUACGUCCGCAAGGAUGAAACUCAAAGAAAUUGGCGGGGGUCCGCACAAGCGGUGGAUUAUGUGGUUUAAUUCGAUGAUACGCGAGGAACCUUACCAGGGCUAGAAUGGGAGGAGAAUAUGUGGGAAACCAUAUAGCUAGCAAUAGCUGCUUCCAAGGUGCUGCAUGGUUGUCGU
rnacentral:rRNA from 1 species